rnacentral:lncRNA from 1 species
CAGCAGGGCAGGAGGCGGUCUUCACGGCCUGUAUUAAAAGCAAGCCGCAAUAUGCUGAGUCCUCGCUGAAGUGGAGGACUGUGCACAUAUGUGUGUGGACAUGUGCACACGUGUGCACAUAUGUGUUGUCCUGAGACCCGGAGGAUUGACAAGAGCGCCCAGGUGUGACCUGCAGGUGACACAGGCGUCUUCCCGCCCCCCUGCUCUUCACUCCACCAAUCAGAUUUGAGGACAGGGCCUGAGGACAGCCAGAGCUGCAGCAGCCAUAACAGCAGCCCCUGCUCUCAGUUCCUGUCAGGUACGCUGCCGUCUUAGAAAGGGGGAAAGGGAGCUGGGUGGAGUCUGGUUCUCUCUGACAUCUGAAACAAAGUGGAAACAAAACCAGAGGCUCUUGCUUCCCAGAGCAGAAAAUUCGAGGACUUUGUGACUCCCGCCCGGAGUGCUCUCGACUCCUGGAAAGGCAGGAGCAACUCCCGAGCUCAGGAGAGGCCCUGGCUACUGUGAGGAGAGGCCCUGGGCUAAGUCACUCUUGAAGGAACAUGAGUUCUCCAGGCCUGGGUUUGUCUUCUGGGGAAACCAAGUGGGGUUCGUGCAGCUUUCACCAGGAGCGCGCUGCUCAUGGGACGGAGCUCCGGGAGCUUGUCUGCUGCGGACCUCGGGAAGACCCUGGUCCUGAAGGUGGCACCGAGUCCCAGACAGCCAGCUCCCCGCUUGCUAUCCCGAGGUUCAAAGGAGUUUUGCAUACCGUCUGCCUAUGGUCCCUUAGACCGAACCCCAGCUCUGCAGCCUCACAGUCAUUAACCGGCCACAUGCACGGCGUGAAAGGGACUGGGAAGUCUGACCAGGGGCACCAGGAGCAGUCUGUGUUGGGCAGCUCUCACCAAGGAGCCUUGUCUAGUAAGGGGUGUUUGGAAGGUGAUUACUAAGAUGAAUUUGUCAAAUUUGAAACAGCAUUAUUUUUGACAUAAAAAACUAAGCUUCUAUAUGUGGAAUUUCUGAUAUUUUGUAGACAAAGGACAAACAGAAGUAAAGAAGGAGAAAGAAGAUGAGGAAAAAAAAAUAUGUUGGAAUUAAUCCAGUUUAUACCGUCUGGUCUCAUUCUAUCCAAUGCUCAUCCGCUCUGCUCCUAUCCUGCCCUUCCUGCUCUACUCGGAUGGCACUACAGCAAAUGCCAGGAACUGUGGGAAACAAAGUGAUAAUUAUAACACCUCGUUAGUGUAAUGACGUCAUCUGCCAGAAGGUGAACUUUCUCUGUUGCUGCAGGAUGAAGACAUUUGGAGCAUAUUUAAGGAUAGGUGUCAGAAGGUGCAGUGGACACUGAGGGACUGCUCUCUAGCAGGCCCUGUUUACCUUGUGAGCUGGGUGGGGAAUUUCAGAGGCAAGGCUGGAGCCAGAGGAAAGUAAACGCAAUUAAGAUGUCAUACGUAUAUGUUCCAGUUCCCCAAGAUGCAUGCAAAUCCCUGUGUACCUUAUCGACAUCACAUAUACCAAUAAACAUUACUCACUGAAUAAAGACCUUC